rnacentral:lncRNA from 1 species
AAGAUGCACAGCAUCAAAGACAGUAGUUCCAGAAUUCUAGGAGCCAAAUAAUGGCAAAGGAAGCAGUGGCCCACAGUGAAACAGGACCACGGGACAUGGCUGUGAAGAACAGAGGAGGGAGUCAGCUGCCAAAUGGAUUAAUUUGGGAAAGGACUGAGACGGGCUCCCAACUUUCCAGAUAGGCUAGAAGAAAGCCUCCUUUGUGCCCAGGCUGUGAGAUGACGUUCCCCUCCGCAGACUCCAGCCAGGAUGACACACCGAGGCUGGAGUGUGGAUGAGAAUUUGCACUGGUCAGAAGAGAUGGAGAGCCUGUAAUCUUGUGGAAAUAUUUGAGAUGACUGUACUAUAUACCAGUUUGUCCUCACUAUUUGACAUAUCCGUGACAUCUCUUCCUCCAGAAUGGCAGCAAACAAUAAGCAGACAGGCAAGAACUUUUUUCCCACAGUGUCUUGAGUCUGAUCCUGUUUAUCUUUCUAUAACAAUGGAAACAGAUGUAUUUUUGUGCUUGCAGCUUCCCAGAUGCUCCAUUCUAAAAUGCUGUCUGCUGUUCAAAGACAUUGCUAGUUUUUAAAGCAGUGAGGACUUCACUAAGUUAAUUACUUGAGUCAAGACUUAGAAUUUCUGGGUGCAUAGUGCACCCUCUGCAGGAGAUGUUUCAUAAUCAAGGGUUCACUUGGGGUCCU